UUAGCUUAGGCGAAGCUCUGAACUAAAGCCCCGGUUAACGGCGGCCGUAACUAUGACGGUCCUAAGGUAGCGAAGUUCCUUGUCGGGUAAGUUCCGACCUGCACGAAUGGCGUAACGACUUCCCCGCUGUCUCCAACAUAGACUCAGUGAAAUUGAAUUCCCCGUGAAGAUGCGGGGUUCCUGCGGUCAGACGGAAAGACCCCGUGCACCUUUACUACAGCUUCACACUGGUAUUCGUCACGACAUGUGUAGGAUAGGUGGUAGACGUUGAAGCA
rnacentral:rRNA from 1 species